AGAGCGAACGCUGGCGGCAGGCCUAACACAUGCAAGUCGGGCGCCCGUAGCAAUACGGGAGCGGCAGACGGGAUAGUAACACGUGGGAACGCGCCCUUCGGUUCGGAAUAACUCAGGGAAACUUGAGCUAAAUACCGGAUACGCCCUUACGGGGAAAGAUUUAUUGCCGAAGGAACGGCCCGCGUCCGAUUAGCUAGUUGGUGAGGUAAUGGCUCACCAAGGCGACGAUCGGUAGCUGGUCUGAGAGGAUGACCAGCAUCACUGGGACUGAGACACGGCCCAGACUCCUACGGGAGGCAGCAGUGGGGAAUAUUGGACAAUGGGCGCAAGCCUGAUCCAGCCAUGCCGCGUGGAUGAUGAAGGCCUUAGGGUUGUAAAGUCCUUUUAACGGGGAAGAUAAUGACGGUACCGUAGAAUAAGCCCCGGCUAACUUCGUGCCAGCAGCCGC
rnacentral:rRNA from 1 species